rnacentral:rRNA from 1 species
AUUGAACGCUGGCGGCAGGCCUAACACAUGCAAGUCGAACGAGUGGCGGACGGGUGAGUAAUGUCUGGGAAACUGCCCGAUGGAGGGGGAUAACUACUGGAAACGGUAGCUAAUACCGCAUACCAUCGGAUGUGCCCAGAUGGGUUUAGCUAGUGGGUGGGGUAACGCCUCACCUAGGCGACGAUCCCUAGCGGGUCUGAGAGGAUGACCAGCCACACUGGAACGGAGACACGGUCCGAACUCCUACGGAGGGCAGCAGGGGGGAAUAUUGCACAAUGGGCGCAAGCCUGAUGCAGCCAUGCCGCGUGUAUGAAGAAGGCUUUCGGGUUGUAAAGUACUUUCAGCGAGGAGACGUUACUCGCAGAAGAAGCACCGGCUAACUCCGUGCCAGCAGCCGCGGUAAUAC